UCGCAGACUUUUGUUAGCGGAUGUACAAUCGUCGCAAAUUGAAUUCUGGGUAGUUUCGGGGCUAGGAGUGAACAUAAUUGUACACUCGCAAAACCGACUAAAAACGAGGGCUGAGGGGCUUGCGUUGCAAACUUCCCUUGCUUGGCUAAUCAUUUGGACCGCCCUCCAAGAUGGCAACGGGGAUUCCCCCAAGGGCAUAAGGCAAUGAAAAGUGGACGAGGAUCUAGCUCUCUCAGGUGUGAGGGGUUUGACCUCAGAGCUGAAGCCAAAGAGGCACAGCCUUCCCAUGUGACCCAACAACAUAACAGCCUGCAGAGAGAGAAACACCUGUCAUUCUGCCAGUUCUGGACACACUGAAAAACAAUUUCUGAUUGCUUUCCUGAACAGUACAUUACUUGCCUGAUGGGUGGCAACAACUUAAAAAAGUGUGUAUUCCCCAGUCCAGCAGAGAGCAGCUUCACUCCUGAAUCCUGUAGGUUAUUGUGACUCAGGUGCAGCUCUCUCAGACUAGAGGAGUUUGAGCUGAGAGCUGAGGCCAGAGACCCACAGCAUUUCUCUGUGAGGUUACAGCAUUUCAGCCUGGGAAUAAAUAUGAAGUUUACAGAGUGGACCCUCCAGGACAGCAGAGAGCAUCUUCACACCUGAGUCUCCUGGUUGGUUGUUGGUCAGGUCCAGCUCUCUCAGAUGUGAGGGGUUUGACCUCAGAGCUGAAGCCAGAGAAGCACAGCUCUCCUCUGUGACUCCACAGCCUACCAUCCUGCAGACAGAGUGGUUCAUUUGUAUAAUAUGCAUUUUCAUAGGACAUGAGGACAUUAUUCAUGUUCAAACAUACAAUUUAGUUUUCCUUUAUCCUUUGUGAACAUGAAUGAAAUAAACAUCACCUCAGUGUU